rnacentral:lncRNA from 1 species
GGACACUCUGGCCUAUCAGACAGAACACUGCCAACACUUGCAAUCGAAGUGGUCUGUGCUUUCAGACUCAUAAAUCUUCUACCUCUGUUUCGGCUAGAAUAUCCAGCUGAAAAAUUAGAUCUAGUGGAGAACUCUCUAGGCCUCUUGGAUGUAGACUGAAAUGACUUGCUCAUUAGUCUUUUCUUCAUGUCUUGCGUCUCAAUUUCAACUUUGCCAUUUCUUUUUAACAGCUCCUCUGCCUUACUGGCUCUCUCAACUAGGGCAACAAACUCUUUUAUUUCUAGGACACCAACCGACAAUCGGAUAUCAUCAUUAAG